GGCAAGGUCAGGAGUCAAACUCAGAGGUCCUCCCAGUCGUCUUGGCAGGCCCUUCCCGCGGUGGAGGUUAGAAUGCCACCUGCCGGCAGCAUCUGACCUGAGGUAAGCCCUCAACAAGCAUUUGUUGAAUAAAUGAAGGAUGGAAGGAAAUGAAGAACGAAAAGAAGGCCAUAAAUUAAAAGGUGAAUUCCGCGCUCUCUUCUCUGGCUGAGGCUAAAUCUUGACCCAGCUGGGCUGUCCCGUCCGGGGCAGUGAGGGGGCACCAUCUCCGUGCGUCCCCUCCGCUGACAUCACCGAAACGACCCUUUCAGGAGGGCACGGGGAACAUGGAAAGUUUGGGGAACAAGUCCAUAUUCAGAGUCAGAAAAAUUCCAGGAAAUCCAGACCCGUGAUUUUAUUAGAUUCAUGUCUAGAAUGAGAAUUAUUGCUGUUGGUGGAAGCGAUGCCCGAGACCGGAAGUACAGCUCCUCUGUUUCUCACUCAAACAUGAACGAUUGGCUUUUCUCUCUUAUGAUGUAUCUAAUUCUAGAGGCAAAGCCUAAACGCUGCAUUUUAUUUUGGUGAUUUUCCUUCAGACCCAGUCCCUGCAUGGGGUAACGUCUUAUGCCAUGGAUCUCACUUGACCUAACCAGCUGUCAAAACUCAUUUGUCUUCUGUCCCAUUCAGAACCUCGCUGAUUGACC